AAUAGAUACCCAGGUAGUCCACGCCGUAAACGUUGGAUACUAGGUGCGGCGUCCUGAUCAACGGAUGCCGUGCCGAAGCUAACGCAUUAAGUAUCCCGCCUGGGGAGUACGGCCGCAAGGCUAAAACUCAAAGGAAUUGACGGGUCCCCGCACAAGCGGCGGAGCAUGCGGCUUAAUUCGAUGCAACCCGAAGAACCUUACCUGGGUUUGAAAUCAUGGGAAAAGCUAUAGAAAUACAGUGUCCGUAAGGGCCCAUGACAGGUGGUGCAUGGCUGUCGUCAGCUCGUGUCGUGAGAUGUUGGGUUAAGUCCCGCAACGAGCGCAACCCUUGUCCUAUGUUGCCAGCGGUUCGGCCGGGGACUCAUAGGAGACUGCCGGGGAUAACUCGGAGGAAGGUGAGGACGACGUCAAGUCAUCAUGCCCCUUAUAUCCAGGGCUGCACGCAUGCUACAAUGGUCGGUACAACGGGCAGCGACCCCGCGAGGGUGAGCGAAUCCCACAAAGCCGGCCUCAGUUCGGAUUGGAGU
rnacentral:rRNA from 1 species